rnacentral:rRNA from 1 species
AAGUCGAGCGGUAGCACAGAGAGCUUGCUCUCGGGUGACGAGCGGCGGACGGGUGAGUAAAGUCUGGGAAACUGCCUGAUGGAGGGGGAUAACUACUGGAAACGGUAGCUAAUACCGCAUAACGUCGCAAGACCAAAGUGGGGGACCUUCGGGCCUCAUGCCAUCAGAUGUGCCCAGAUGGGAUUAGCUAGUAGGUGGGGUAACGGCUCACCUAGGCGACGAUCCCUAGCUGGUCUGAGAGGAUGACCAGCCACACUGGAACUGAGACACGGUCCAGACUCCUACGGGAGGCAGCAGUGGGGAAUAUUGCACAAUGGGCGCAAGCCUGAUGCAGCCAUGCCGCGUGUGUGAAGAAGGCCUUCGGGUUGUAAAGCACUUUCAGCGGGGAGGAAGGCGAUAAGGUUAAUAACCUCGUCGAUUGACGUUACCCGCAGAAGAAGCACCGGCUAACUCCGUGCCAGCAGCCGCGGUAAUACGGAGGGUGCAAGCGUUAAUCGGAAUUACUGGGCGUAAAGCGCACGCAGGCGGUCUGUCAAGUCGGAUGUGAAAUCCCCGGGCUCAACCUGGGAACUGCAUUCGAAACUGGCAGGCUAGAGUCUUGUAGAGGGGGGUAGAAUUCCAGGUGUAGCGGUGAAAUGCGUAGAGAUCUGGAGGAAUACCGGUGGCGAAGGCGGCCCCCUGGACAAAGACUGACGCUCAGGUGCGAAAGCGUGGGGAGCAAACAGGAUUAGAUACCCUGGUAGUCCACGCCGUAAACGAUGUCGAUUUGGAGGUUGUGCCCUUGAGGCGUGGCUUCCGGAGCUAACGCGUUAAAUCGACCGCCUGGGGAGUACGGCCGCAAGGUUAAAACUCAAAUGAAUUGACGG